rnacentral:lncRNA from 1 species
UUAGAAGUUAGUGGAAAGAGAUGGGAGAGUGCAAGAAGGUAAGAUUAUAAGCAUAUAGAUUCCAUAUACAUACUCAACAAAUGCUUGUUGAUUAAUUGAGUCUAAAUAUCCUGUAGUCUCUGUUUUCCAGUUCAUCCUGUUGCCUAAGUCAUGUCCUUUACACAUUGGAUGAUGCUGGCAAUCUCUGAAAAUUCAUAUCAAACUCCCUUUCUUUAUUUCUUUGUUGAUUCAGGACUUCCAUAAUGGAAGAGCCAUGUAACCUGAGAGAGUUAACUCAUACAAAUAUGAAGAAAGAUGUAACUGAAGAUCUCCCAUUGACUAAGUCAGAGAGUGGCAGGCAUGAAGAAACCAAUGAAAAUGCUGACAGUGUGCAGGAAGCAGCUGAAAUAGUUUCUUCCGGUACUGAGAAAUCUUUGUCAAUGAAUAACCUCUCGGGAAAGGAAAUCAAAAAUUGCCAAAUUGACUUUCAAAAUGUAUGUGUGAUCCUGAAAAGGUUGUUAGGUAGUUUUAUUUCCUAACACUUUAAGUACUCUAUAGUUAUUCAACACCUGCCUUUGGAGAAUUCACAUUACAUUCAUUCAUUCAACAGUCAUUUUAUAGAGCACUUAUUAUUGAAGGUGCUAAGGGAGUUACAAAGACAAUAAAAGUGUAGUCCCUGCACUCUUACA